GACGAACGCUGGCGGCGUGCUUAACGCAUGCAAGUCGAACGGUGAAGCGCCUUCCUUUUUGGUGGGUGUGGAUGAGUGGCGAACGGGUGAGUAACACGUGAGUAACCUGCCCCCUUCUUCUGGAUAACCGCAUGAAAGUGUGGCUAAUACGGGAUAUUCUGGGUCUGUCGCAUGAUGGGUCUGGGAAAGAUAUUGUUUCGGUGGGGGAUGGGCUCGCGGCCUAUCAGCUUGUUGGUGGGGUGAUGGCCUACCAAGGCGGUGACGGGUAGCCGGCCUGAGAGGGUGGACGGUCACACUGGGACUGAGACACGGACCAGACUCCUACGGGAGGCAGCAGUGGGGAAUAUUGCACAAUGGGCGGAAGCCUGAUGCAGCGACGCCGCGGGAGGGAUGGAGGCCUUCGGGUUGUGAACCUCUUUCGCCAGUGAAGCAGGCCUGCCUCGUUUGUGGGUGGGUUGACGGUAGCUGGAGAAGAAGCGCCGGCUAACUACGUG
rnacentral:rRNA from 1 species